rnacentral:rRNA from 1 species
AGGGCGUAUGGGGGAUGCCUAGGCUCUUGGAGGCUAAGAAGGACGUGGUAAGCUGCGAAAAGCUGCGGGGAUUUGCAAACGAGACUCGAUCCGCAGAUAUCCGAAUGGGACAACCCGGCAGGUAGAAGACCUGUCACACCGCGAGGUGAGCUAACCCUCUGAACUGAAACAUCUAAGUAGGAGGAGGAAAAGAAAGAAACAUCGAUUUCCAAAGUAGCGGCGAGCGAAAUGGAAGAAGCCCAAACCGAUAUUGUUACGGCAAUAUCGGGGUUGUAGGACUGCAAUAUUCAAUUAACAAUGAACUGGAAUGGUCUGGAAAGUCCAUCCAUAGAGAGUGAAAGGCUCGUACAGGUAAGUUUGUUAUGCGAAAGCAGUAUCCUGAGUAUGGCGGGACACGAGGAAUCCUGUCAGAAUCAGCCGGGACCACCCGGUAAGGCUAAAUACUCCCAAGAGACCGAUAGUGGACCAGUACUGUGAAGGAAAGGUGAAAAGAACCCCGAACAGGGGAGUGAAAUAGAACCUGAAACCAUACGCUUACAACCGGUCGGAGCAGCUUCGUGCUGUGACGGCGUGCCUAUUGAAUAAUGAGCCUACGAGUUACUAAUCACUAGCGAGGUUAAGUGCAAGGAUGCACGGAGCCGAAGCGAAAGCGAGUCUGAACAGGGCGUUUAGUUAGUGGUUGUAGACGCGAAACCUUGCGAUCUACCCUUGAGCAGGUUGAAGGUUGGGUAAAACCAACUGGAGGACCGAACGAAUAAGCGUUGAAAAGCUUCUCGAUGACUUGAGGGUAGGGGUGAAAGGCUAAUCAAGCUGGGAAAUAGCUCGUACUCCCCGAAAUGCCUUUUGGGGCAGCGUUGUAAUAAAGAGUCUACUGGAGGUAGAGCUACUGAUUGGAUGCGGGGGCUUCACCGCCUACCAAAUCCUGACAAACUCCGAAUGCCAGUAGUAUGAUUUACAGCAGUGAGUGACUGGGUGCUAAUGUCCAGUCGCAAAAGAGGAACAACUCAGACCAGCAACUAAGGUCCCGAAGAAUAUGCUAAGUUGAUCUAACGAUGUUUUGUUGCAGAGACAGCUAGGAUGUUAGCUUGGAAGCAGCUAUUCAUUCAAAGAGUGCGUAACAGCUCACUAGUCGAGCGACAGAGCGUGGAUAAUAAACGGGCAUCAAGCAUAUCACCGAAGUUCUGGGCGCGAGAGCGCGGUAGGGGAGCAUUCCAUUCAGCGUCGAAGCAGUUUCGUGAGGAAUUGUGGAGCGUAUGGAAAAGCAAAUGUAGGCAUGAGUAACGAUAAUGCGGGAGAGUAACCCGCACACCGCAAGACCAAGGUUUCCUGAUCAACGCUAAUCGGAUCAGGGUUAGUCGGGUCCUAAGGGUAAGCCGAACGGCGAUCUCGAUGGAUAAUCGGUUAAUAUUCCGAUACUAACAUAUACCUCGAUGGAGAGACGAAGGAACGUAAGUGCCGCCACCUGACGGAAUAGGUGGUUAAAGGGCGUAGAUAUAGGGGCAGAUUAAGAGUUAGUCCUUGCUGAAACCUGACAGUACAGAGAGCCUACGGGCAAUUUGAUAGAGCACCCAAGUCGACUUCCGAGAAAAUCUUCUAAGUUAUAGUAUAUGUUACCCGUACCGUAAACCGACACAGGUGGUCGAGGAGAGUAUCCUAAGGUGCUCGAGUGAAUCACGGUUAAGGAACUAGGCAAAUUAACCCCGUAACUUCGGGAAAAGGGGUCCCUAUGAAAGUAGGGCGCAGCGAAGAGGUCCAGGCGACUGUUUAUCAAAAACACAGGGCUCUGCAAAUUCGAAAGAAGACGUAUAGGGCCUGACACCUGCCCGGUGCUGGAAGGUUAAGAGGGGAUGUCAUCGCAAGAGAAGCAUUGAAUCGAAGCCCCAGUAAACGGCGGCCGUAACUAUAACGGUCCUAAGGUAGCGAAAUUCCUUGUCGGGUAAGUUCCGACCUGCACGAAUGGUGUAAUGAUCUGGACGCUGUCUCAACCGUGAGCUCAGUGAAAUUGUAGUAUCGGUGAAGAUGCCGAUUACCCGCGAUGGGACGAAAAGACCCCGUGAACCUUUACUAUAGCUUA